AACAUACCUAAAACGUUGCUUCGGCGGGAACAGACGGCCCCGUAACACGGGCCGCCCCCGCCAGAGGACCCCUAACUCUGUUUAUAUUAUGUUUUUUCUGAGUAAACAAGCAAAUAAAUUAAAACUUUCAACAACGGAUCUCUUGGCUCUGGCAUCGAUGAAGAACGCAGCGAAAUGCGAUAAGUAAUGUGAAUUGCAGAAUUCAGUGAAUCAUCGAAUCUUUGAACGCACAUUGCGCCCGCCAGUAUUCUGGCGGGCAUGCCUGUUCGAGCGUCAUUACAACCCUCAGGCCCCCGGGCCUGGCGUUGGGGAUCGGCGGAAAGCCCCCUGUGGGCAUACGCCGUCCCCUAAAUACAGUGGCGGUCCCGCCGCAGCUUCCAUUGCGUAGUAGCUAACACCUCGCAACUGGAGAGCGGCGCGGCCAAGCCGUAAAACCCCCAACUUCUGAA
rnacentral:misc_RNA from 1 species